UCCGACGACAGCGCUGCAGUGGUGAAUAGAGGGAAUUUCACAAGAAAAGUUCAGUUAUAAAUUUUUCUCCCAACUUUCUUAAGUUUUUCUUUAAUAAAUUAUCUUAAAAUUGGCUUAUUAUUAUAAAGAUCUAUAGAUAAAGUGGUAUUGUCUCUUGUUUUAUGCAAUAAUUCAUUUGGAUCAAGUGGAUCAAACAGUGUUUAACAGAAAAUUGGCUUUUUGGCGUUUGCAUGUGGCAUCCAUAUUAAGUUUUCCCUCAAUUUUAAUAUUAAAAAGCAAGCAAAAUCCAGUGAAAAUGAAUAGUGCACGGAAUCAGGAUUCCUGGCGCGUGAGAGAAGUUGACGGGCUUCCAGGAUCACCUAGGGAAACGGUGCCUGAAAGAGCCCCAAUCGAAGCAAUGAGGAGGAUGCAUCUGGCUGAUUCCGGGGAUUCCCCGCGUAGUUGGAGAAGAAUUCCCGGGAAAGCUGAAGCAAAGAAUUCGGAGGAAGUACCACCUCGAACGAGGCCCUGGAAUGUGCAAAGUGAGGGCAGAUUCAUCCAGAAAAUGUCCAAAAUAGAACUUAUGUCAAUAGUUCACAUGAGUCCUGUGGAUGCUUUUCUGGAAAUUGUUGACGAUAUGGAAAAAUUUAAAGAAACUGCUUUGCAGAAUAACAAAUCUCACGAAGAUACAAUUCUGCUGAUUGUUAUUCUUGGAAAACUACAUGAAGUUCCUUUUGAUCAGCUUAAAGAUAUUGUUUUCAUGAUCUUCGGAUCAAAUGUUGUCUUUCGGGAUGAUAUCUUGGCGUACGUGAGGUAUGCAGUAGAUCUCGAAGAGAAAGGCAAACAGAAUUUAUUGCCUUUUGCCGAUCAAGUCUGGAGCAGUUUGGAAGUGUUUUGCAAGUACGCAAAGAAUAUUGAGGGAAGUGCCAACUGUUGGGCAUUUUUCACUCGGGCUUUGUGUAAAGUCCUUGAAGGGAAAACUAGAGAUUCUCUUGUGGAGAAAUACUCAAUGUUUUCCAGUUUGAAAGACGAAUUGGAGGUAAACUUUACUUACAAAGACAACAUUUAUGUCUGCCUUGAUGAUUUGAAAAAUGAACAAUUUACAUAUUAUCCCCAAACUGAGGGUGGAAAAUUCAAAGAUGCUAAAGAGUAUUUGAAUUUCCUCAUAUCUUACUUGAAGAGUUACUUUUUGGUUGAUCUCUAUCAUGGAUUGCAAGAAUAUAAAAAAUUGGAGGAAGACGAAAGAUGCAUUGACAAUUUCAAGGAUAUCGGUGGUACGAGAAUGUUUCCAGUAGUCCGUAUUCACAAGGACUAUCCACCAUUCACACUAUUACAAGACAAAUACUUCCUUCUGGAUUUCGCUCCUCGCAGCAGAAAUAAUGGAAAAUUGCGAGAGGACAGAAAAGCCGAAGUCAUUGAUGGCAUAGAAUGUAUUAGGAAUGCAACUCCUCUAUUUCUCUCAACGUCUCCUAAUUUUGAGAAUAUCACAAUGGCUUGGGUGGUAUAUUUGACAGAGGAAUUAAAACAGGAGGGAUUCUUGAUCGUGGACAUAUUAUGGAUGGAAAAUGUCAAGGAGUGUAUUCUGGACAGAGAUCUUUUCCUUGUGGUAAUACCAGAUGUGUUUGAACCUAAAAUCCACACACUAAGAACUUUGAAGAGAAUGUCAACAGCUUUACUUCCUAUGAAGAAAUACUUGGUAUCCUGUGAGUCUUCUGCCAUUCUUCCUCACAUUCCAGACUACGACAGUCUAAAGAAAGAUUCACAGAUUAAAAAAAUGGGGCUAAAUCAGAAGCAGAUUGAGGCUAUUGAAAUGGCACUCACGCGAGAAGUAAGUCUAAUUGAUGGCCCUCCGGGAUCUGGGAAGACAAGAAUCACCCUCAAUAUCAUCAAAGAUAUCCUGGAAAAUUCAUCUUCCCAGAUUCUUAUUGUGGCAUACAAAAAUUUUGUUCUGGAUAAAAUUAUCCUAAAAUCGUCUAAAUUGACUGACAAAGUUGCAAGGAUUGGAUGGUAUUAUAAGGAUGCAAAUGUGGAAAAGCAUACAUUGAAUGAUGACAUAUUCGAUCCUCGAUAUUGUCGUCUACGUAAACACACUAACAGUAAAUGUAUUGCAGCAAUGAAUAAAUUUAUUGAUACAAUGCAGUCUUGAAGGAAGUGAAGAAGUUUCAAAUCUUGAAGAAGAUUUCCAAAACCUAAUUGAGGCAAAAAAUCAGUUUUUGAAGAUAAGAUCGCUCAAUAUGUACUAUAACUGUAAAGAUGCACGAAUAAUAGGGGUAACAACAACAGGAGUGUCAAAAUACCAUGAAUUGCUGGACCUUCUUCGUCCAUCAGUUGUGAUAUUUUAUGAUGCGCACAAUAUCCCCGAACCACAUAUUGUUACAUCCCUAACGGAGCAUACGGAACAAAUGAUUUUCAUUGGCGAUCAUAAACGAUUGGGACAACUUCAGUAUCAUCACUUUUUCUGCUAUUGUCCCAAAAUUAUGUUUAUUGAACGUCUUUUGGAGAAUAAUCUUAACACUGUUCGCCUCAAUGUUCAGUACCGAAUGCAUUCUGAAAUUGCCGAUUUGGUUCGCGGAACGAUUUACGAUGAUCUCAAGGAUGGGGAUAACGUCCAGAACUACGAGCCUAUCAAAGGAAUCCCUAAGAAUCUCUUCUGUGUCACUCUCAAAAACUCUUCUUCCCUUGAUCAUUUGAUCAAAGAGUAUCCUGUUGAAGAAUAUCCAGAGUUGACAGAGGAAGUUUUCCAUCAGACACUUUUCAGUCUUUGCCUGGCGAAUUAUCUUCGUCAGCAAGGAUACCAAGCCCAUGAAAUUGUGAUUCUCGCACUGUAUUCCAAGCUGGAAUCCGCAGUCAUUGAUUCAAUGAAGAAGUAUUUUCCUCUGCUUCACUAUGUUGAAGUUCAAGUAAUUGACCAUUUUCAGGGAGAAGAAUGCCGCAUUGCAAUUGUAUCUCUUGCAAAAGUCGAUAAGGAAACGGACUACGAUUUUUUGGCCGCUGAAUAUCGACUGUGCAUUUUGAUGACUCGAGCUCAAGAAGGCUUGUAUAUCGUGGGUGAUUUGGAGCCUUUCAUAGAGAAGAACGAGACAUGGGGAAAGGUCAAGGAGAAGCUAGAAGCGAAGGAGUCCAUUGGGCCGGGUCUUCCUGUGAAAUGUGAGAAGCACGGAUGCGAAAUUCUAGUGCAUAGCGCUGAAGACUUCAUCAAGAUCUCCAAAAAUGGAUGUCCAACUGGAGAGCUCAACAAGGAAGAUCCUUGCUAUGAAACGAUUUAAAGUUUAAGUGAAAAUCUACUAUGUUGAAAUAUAUAAUCUUAUUGUGCGUUAAUUGAUCAAUUGAUUUGAAUUUGCAAAUAAAUGAAUUUCUUUCUAA